rnacentral:rRNA from 1 species
UCUAGUGAGACUGCCGGUGACAAACCGGAGGAAGGUGGGGACGACGUCAGAUCAUCAUGCCCCUUAUGACCUGGGCUACACACGUGCUACAAUGGACGGUACAACGAGCGGCGAACUCGCGAGGGCAAGCUAAUCUCUUAAAACCGUUCUCAGUUCGGACUGCAGUCUGCAACUCGACUGCACGAAGUCGGAAUCGCUAGUAAUCGCGGAUCAGCAUGC